rnacentral:rRNA from 1 species
AUACGGAGGAUCCGAGCGUUAUCCGGAUUUAUUGGGUUUAAAGGGUGCGCAGGCGGGAGAUUAAGUCGGCGGUGAAAUUUUUCAGCUCAACUGUAAAAGAGCCUUCGAAACUGGGUUCCUUGAGUGUAGAUGAAGUAGGCGGAAUUUGUGGGGUAGCGGUGAAAUGCAUAGAUAUCACGAGGAACUCCGAUUGCGCAGGCAGCUUACUAAACUACUACUGACGCUCAGGCACGAAGGCGUGGGGAUCAAACAGGAUUAGAUACCCUGGUAGUCCACGCAGUAAACGAUGAUUACUAGCUGUUUGCGAUACAAUGUAAGCGGCUGAGCGAAAGCGUUAAGUAAUCCACCUGGGGAGUACGUUCGCAAGAAUGAAACUCAAAUGAAUUGACGGGG